rnacentral:rRNA from 1 species
GGCGAGGGGAGUGAAAAAGAACCUGAAACCGUGUACGUACAAGCAGUGGGAGCACAGGUUUACCUGUGUGACUGCGUACCUUUUGUAUAAUGGGUCAGCGACUUAUAUUCUGUAGCAAGGUUAACCGAAUAGGGGAGCCGGAGGGAAACCGAGUCUUAACCGGGCGUUAAGUUGCAGGGUAUAGACCCGAAACCCGGUGAUCUAGCCAUGGGCAGGUUGAAGGUUGGGUAACACUAACUGGAGGACCGAACCGACUAAUGUUGAAAAAUUAGCGGAUGACCUGUGGCUGGGGGUGAAAGGCCAAUCAAACCGGGAGAUAGCUGGUUCUCCCCGAAAGCUAUUUAGGUAGCGCCUCGUGAAUUCAUCUCCGGGGGUAGAGCACUGUUUCGGCUAGGGGGCCAUCCCGGCUUACCAACCCGAUGCAAACUGCGAAUACCGGAGAAUGUUAUCACGGGAGACACACGGCGGGUGCUAACGUCCGUCGUGAAGAGGGAAACAACCCAGACCGCCAGCUAAGGUCCCAAAGUCAUGGUUAAGUGGGAAACGAUGUGGGAAGGCCCAGACAGCCAGGAUGUUGGCUUAGAAGCAGCCAUCAUUUAAAGAAAGCGUAAUAGCUCACUGGUCGAGUCGGCCUGCGCGGAAGAUGUAACGGGGCUAAACCAUGCACCGAAGCUGCGGCAGCGA